CUGUAAUGGUGCAAUCUCGGCUCACCGCAACCUCCGCCUCCUGGGUUCAGGCGAUUCUCCUGCCUCAGCCUCACAAGUAGCUGAGAUUACAGCCCGGAAGCCUCCAGCCUCACUCCGUCGGCUCCAACCGGGGAGUCCCCAGGAGUUAAAGAACCUGAGCCCCAGCCGGCGUGGUGGCUCACGCCUGGAAUCCCAGCACUUUGGGAGGCCGAGGCGGACGGAUCACGAGAGCACCCAGGGACACUGGGCAAGGAGCAGCAGGUAGCCUCAGAGCACGCCCAGACCCCUCUGGUCAGGGGCGGGAGUCCUGCCAGGGAGGCCAGCACCGCCAGUCCUCUGGAGUGAGAGUGAGGCAGGAGAAGAGGGCCUGGACGCAGGGAGCCCAAGGGCGUCCUAGAACCAAAUCAACUGGAAACACCAACGAUGACGGGAAUGCUGGAGUGCAGUGGUGCACUCCUUGGUUCUCUGCAGCCUCUGCCUCCCGGGUUUAAGCGAUUUUCCUGCCUCAGCCUCCUGACUAUCUGGGAUUACAGGCACCCGCCACCACACCCAGCUAAUUUUGUAUUUUUAGUAGAGACGGGGUUUCUCCGUGUUCAUCAGGCUGGUCUUGAACUCCCGACCUCAGGUGAUCCACCCACCCCAGCCUCCCAAAGUACUGGGAUUACAGGCGUGACAGUAUGCUCAGCCGAGAAAAUGACUUUGACUUCAUCCUCUUCGUUUACGUAGGGCAUACACCAAGUAACCAAUGGUAAACCGCUAGAGGAUAUUGAAACACCAGAAAAUUCUGUAACCGGGGCCCUUGAGCUGCUUGCUCAGCCCGCUCCCACCCUGUAAGGAGUGCUUUCAUUUUCAAUAAAUU